rnacentral:rRNA from 1 species
UGGGAACGUACCCUUUGGUUCGGAACAACCCAGGGAAACUUGGGCUAAUACCGGAUAAGUCCGUAAGGAGAAAGAUUUAUCGCCAAAGGAUCGGCCCGCGUCUGAUUAGCUAGUUGGUAGGGUAAUGGCCUACCAAGGCUACGAUCAGUAGCUGGUCUGAGAGGAUGAUCAGCCACAUUGGGACUGAGACUCGGCCCAAACUCCUACGGGAGGCAG